rnacentral:rRNA from 2 species
UAAGCCUGUGAAGGUGUGUCGUGAGGCAUGCUGGAGGUAUCAGAAGUGCGAAUGCUGACAUAAGUAACGAUAAAGCGGGUGAAAAGCCCGCUCGCCGGAAGACCAAGGGUUCCUGUCCAACGUUAAUCGGGGCAGGGUGAGUCGACCCCUAAGGCGAGGCCGAAAGGCGUAGUCGAUGGGAAACGGGUUAAUAUUCCCGUACUUGGUGUUACUGCGAAGGGGGGACGGAGAAGGCUAUGUUGGCCGGGCGACGGUUGUCCCGGUUUAAGCGUGUAGGUGUGUGUUCCAGGUAAAUCCGGUUCACUUUAACACUGAGGCGUGACGACGAGGCACUACGGUGCUGAAGCAACAAAUGCCCUGCUUCCAGGAAAAGCCUCUAAGCAUCAGGUAACAUCAAAUCGUACCCCAAACCGACACAGGUGGUCAGGUAGAGAAUACCAAGGCGCUUGAGAGAACUCGGGUGAAGGAACUAGGCAAAAUGGUGCCGUAACUUCGGGAGAAGGCACGCUGACACGUAGGUGAAGUGAUUUACUCAUGGAGCUGAAGUCAGUCGAAGAUACCAGCUGGCUGCAACUGUUUAUUAAAAACACAGCACUGUGCAAACACGAAAGUGGACGUAUACGGUGUGACGCCUGCCCGGUGCCGGAAGGUUAAUUGAUGGGGUCAGCGCAAGCGAAGCUCCUGAUCGAAGCCCCGGUAAACGGCGGCCGUAACUAUAACGGUCCUAAGGUAGCGAAAUUCCUUGUCGGGUAAGUUCCGACCUGCACGAAUGGCGUAAUGAUGGCCAGGCUGUCUCCACCCGAGACUCAGUGAAAUUGAACUCGCUGUGAAGAUGCAGUGUACCCGCGGCAAGACGGAAAGACCCCGUGAACCUUUACUAUAGCUUGACACUGAACAUUGAGCCUUGAUGUGUAGGAUAGGUGGGAGGCUUUGAAGUGUGGACGCCAGUCUGCAUGGAGCCGACCUUGAAAUACCACCCUUUAAUGUUUGAUGUUCUAACGUGGACCCGUGAUCCGGGUUGCGGACAGUGUCUGGUGGGUAGUUUGACUGGGGCGGUCUCCUCCUAAAGAGUAACGGAGGAGCACGAAGGUUGGCUAAUCCUGGUCGGACAUCAGGAGGUUAGUGCAAUGGCAUAAGCCAGCUUGACUGCGAGCGUGACGGCGCGAGCAGGUGCGAAAGCAGGUCAUAGUGAUCCGGUGGUUCUGAAUGGAAGGGCCAUCGCUCAACGGAUAAAAGGUACUCCGGGGAUAACAGGCUGAUACCGCCCAAGAGUUCAUAUCGACGGCGGUGUUUGGCACCUCGAUGUCGGCUCAUCACAUCCUGGGGCUGAAGUAGGUCCCAAGGGUAUGGCUGUUCGCCAUUUAAAGUGGUACGCGAGCUGGGUUUAGAACGUCGUGAGACAGUUCGGUCCCUAUCUGCCGUGGGCGCUGGAGAACUGAGGGGGGCUGCUCCUAGUACGAGAGGACCGGAGUGGACGCAUCACUGGUGUUCGGGUUGUCAUGCCAAUGGCACUGCCCGGUAGCUAAAUGCGGAAGAGAUAAGUGCUGAAAGCAUCUAAGCACGAAACUUGCCCCGAGAUGAGUUCUCCCUGAGACUUAAAGUCUCCUGAAGGAACGUUGAAGACGACGACGUUGAUAGGCCGGGUGUGUAAGCGCAGCGAUGCGUUGAGCUAACCGGUACUAAUGAACCGUGAGGCUUAACCUUACAACGCCGAAG